UUCAUUCAGACUGGAUCAGCCACGGUCAUGAUUAGGAGUGAGGUAAACAACAUGGCGGCAACCUGAUAGCAGCUGCAUCAAGAAUAGCAUACCUCACAUAUGUGUGCAGACAGACUCAAAUAAAACACUACAGCGGAAGACUACAUAACAUCCAUCUACUUCGAUUCAGUCUGAAAGUUAAGGUUCCCUGGAACAUAAUCCUGAGUUGCCAACAGAGAAAGACUAGUGGACUCACUAGAAGAGCUGACAAGAAAUCUAGGAUCCAGAGCAUUAAUAAGGAUACUAAAGACUGAAAGGACUCAUUUUGGUUUGUGUUUGACUAUUGCGUCUGGACUUAGAUCAAGGCUAACCGAUGGUGCCCUCUCUGAAGUAGAGACCAUGGAUCACUACAAGGACCUUUGGCCGAAAUGUUGGGCUUGGGUUUGAAACAGGACCAUUUACCUCUCCCUUCUCAUAUCAGAUCACAGAUGGAGGUGACAUGGAGCUAAGCAGUGAAAUGUAAUCUCGGCCAAACAUCCCGCUCUCUGCUCAGUAGCACCUGUCACACAGCCUGAACUCUCCACAAAUCUUUUCAUCCUGGACCUUGAACUCACUGGGACUUAGCUAACUGCCCUACACCUCUCUGGAAACCGUUAAAGCUAGCCUACAGCUUCCCACAAACCAAAACGAACCCAUUAAUGUUUACAGACCUACUCUAUCCCAACGUCAACCGUUUCUUUCAAUGCCCAGACCUGGCCACACCUCCUCCCAUGUCCCUUAAUGUUUUCUAAUGGAACUGUAUCCCUGAGCCACCACGAUACACAGCCCAAGCCAAAGGCUUGACGUCACAGUGCAGUUGCAUUGGACUGUCUGGAGCACACUGGAGUAACUAAGCUCUAACUAAGUUAAUUUAAACAUGAGUGACGGGGAGCUGCAGCACCUGGACUAUCUGACUGAGAAUGAGCUGAUGGGCAUGGACACGUUCAUUCACCGCAUCGACUCAACCGAGGUGAUCUACCAGCCACGCAGGAAGAGGGCCAAGCUGAUCGGGAAGUACCUGAUGGGAGACCUGCUGGGGGAGGGCUCCUACGGUAAGGUGAAGGAGAUGCUGGACUCUGACACGCUGUGUCGCAGGGCCGUCAAGAUCCUCAAGAAGAAGAAGCUGAGGAGGAUCCCCAACGGAGAGGCUAAUGUGAAGAAGGAGAUCCAGCUGCUACGGAGACUCCAGCACAAAAAUGUGAUCCAUUUGGUGGACGUGUUGUACAAUGAAGAGAAGCAGAAAAUGUAUAUGGUGAUGGAGUAUUGCGUAUGUGGGAUGCAAGAAAUGCUGGACAGUGUCCCAGAGAAAAGAUUUCCAGUAUUUCAAGCUCAUGGGUACUUUUUACAGCUGUUAGAUGGCCUUGAAUAUUUGCACAGCCAGGGAAUCGUUCACAAAGACAUUAAACCAGGAAAUCUGCUUCUGACCACCGACGGGGCACUCAAAAUCUCCGACCUGGGCGUGGCAGAGGCUCUGCACCCGUUUGCGGAGGAUGACACGUGCCGUACGAGUCAGGGCUCGCCGGCGUUCCAGCCCCCCGAGAUCGCCAACGGCCUGGACACCUUUUCAGGGUUCAAAGUGGACAUCUGGUCUGCAGGCGUCACACUAUACAACAUUACGACCAGUCUUUAUCCGUUUGAAGGGGACAACAUCUAUAAGCUAUUUGAGAACAUUGGGAAGGGAGACUACAGUGUUCCAGAAGAGUGCGGGCCUGCCCUGUCAGACCUACUGCAAGGAAUGCUUGAAUAUGAUCCCGUCAAGAGGUUUUCGAUACAGCACAUAAGGCAACACAACUGGGUACGUAAAAAACACCCGCCAACGGAGACACCGGUGCCGAUCCCUGCCAGCGCAGAGAGCCGGGAUGUGUGGCGCAGCAUGACGGUGGUGCCCUACCUGGAGGACCUGCACGGGUACACCGAGGAAGAGGACGACGAGCUCUACGACCAGGAGGACGACAUCAUCUACACUCAGGACUUCACUGUGCCAGGGCAGGUACCAGAGGAGGACUUAGAUGAGGGUGAGGUGGAUCGGAGCCGGGCCCAGGCCAAGCCUGUUUGUGUGAACGGGACGGAGAGCAACGCCAAGCCAGAGUGCAGGUCCUCGUCCUCAUCCAACCCCUCCCGCAAAGGAAUAUCCACAGCCAGCAAGAUUCGCAAGCUCUCCACCUGCAAACAGCAAUGACUGCACCUCAACAACCCACCUGGGUCUGCCAUCAUUCAGCUGCUUUAUCUGUGUGUUGCUGGAGGUUGAUAUUUUCCCGUUCUUCUGUUUUUGGAGUGCUUGGCAAUGGUGAGAGAAGCCUGCUGAUGUUGUGCCCCACGUUUCAUCCUGAACCAUUUGGCUUCAAACUCUUCUUCAAGGAUGCCAUGCGCGUGACGAAGAGCAGGAGAAGGAGAGAAAUAGAUUGCUCAGAGACUACCCUUGAGGGUCUUGGUGUGAAGUGCUUGUGUUUCCCUUCACUCUCUCUGCGGAAGACUUCUUUUCUUUCAGUCCCAGAGGAGGCGUGGCCUGGCCUUGUGAGACCCACCUUUGUGAACUCUGCCCCAGUUUUAGUGAAUAGACAACCUUUUAUUUUACAGAACCUAACUGCAGUUUUUAAAGAUGCAAAUUGUGAUGUGUAAAAAGAAUGACGUUGAUAAAGAAUACAUAUAUAUUUAAACUAUGAUGAUGAGUAUGAUACCCAUGUAAAACUGCAUGCUGUACGGAGCUUUGAGAAAGGGAAACUACUCGGUUAAGGACAGACAAAUGGACUGAAACCUUGACAUCCACAGCUGAUGGUGAGUUGGGAGGGGUUUUGUUUUCCAUUAGUUGUUGUUUUGAUUAUUUUUUUCCAAUAAAUAUUUUGUAAUUAUUAUUUAUAUAAAACACAUCCCAACCAAACCCUA